rnacentral:tRNA from 1 species
GCGCUGGAAUACAAGGGUUGAGACCAGAUUCCUAAUCUGGGGGUCCCGCGUUCGAAUCGCGGCGGGAUCACCA